GGGCCUCUCUUCUCUUCUCCCUCUAUCAAACCGAUCCUCUCCUUGUCAUCGCUGCUAUCUUACCCGUCGUCUCCACUGCCUCGUCGUCAUCACCGCUCGAGAAGAAGCCCGCGCUGCCGCUGCCAUUGUUGUGGCCGCAAGGAAGCCGGCCUCGUCAUCGCUGGGAAAGAGCGGCCUCGUCGUCAUCGCGAAGGAGCUGGCCUCGUCGUCGUCGCGAAGGAGCCGGCCUCAUCGUCGCCCCAAAUUGAAACUCAGUUGAAGAGAGCUGCUUGGAGAGGUAAACUGAAUGUGCACGAACCUUCAUUUGCAUGUUGAAAAGAGCUAAAUCUCUCUUCAUACGCUACGAUGUCAAACACAAGUUGUUUUGAAUAGAGCAGAUGCUUGGAGUACCUGUAAUUGAAGCCAAAAAAAAAAAUUUACAUGUGAGUUCCACUUAUAUCCAUCGUUCUAACAAUUCAAUUAUGUAUGGAAACUUACCAACUAAAGUUGAUUUGGUCAAGUAUUUAUCUGAAUGGGUAAUUUUCGGCUUCUUUGGUAGUACGAGAUUUUUAUCUCAGAUAAAGAGAAUCACUUCAUGGGAGUUCAAUUCGCAUUCAGAAACUGUAGUUGCUAUAACGAUUAGUAAUCCAGAUAUUGAACCAGCAGCCGCAAAAAGUGGAAGUAAUAUAGGACUCAUGUGCUUUGAUUUUUAGUUUGGGUUUCUUGUUAUUUCAUCACUAGAGAAAGAAAAGGAAAGAAUAAUAAAAAAAAAAGAUCUUGUCUUUGAGACUGGAUGAUAAUUUCAAAAAUGGGAUUGGAUCCAAAAAAUUUGUUCUUACAAUGAACUGAUUGUAGCCACCAAUAAUUUUUCAGAUAAUGAGAAGCUUAGUGAAGGAGGUUUUGAUGUUGUCUACAGAGGUUUCUUGAAGGAUCUCAUUGCUAUGUUGUUGUUAACGGAGUGUUAAGGGAGCCUAAACAAGGGAUCAAAGAGUAUAAGCAGCCAACCAUUAGUUUAAAGAGAACAUAAAGGGGAAAGUUGGAACCCUUGAAGGAGACGGUAGAUUAGAACAUUUUCCCCAAUAAAAAAAAAAAAAAAAUUAUAG
rnacentral:lncRNA from 1 species